ensembl:lncRNA
GCUGGGCUCGGGCUCCCGCGUGGGUUUUUAGCGGGGCCGGCACGGUGCUGCCGCCCGAGACCGAGCACGGCUCCGGGGUGGCCUCUUCCCCCGGGAAGGGUUUUGUGGGUGCUCCCACCCAUCCCGUUUCCUGCGGUGGGAGUGAGCAGGUUGGAACGAUGUAUUUCUCUGCCUUUUCCUUCACGUGUAGCUUCAGGAGCACGGUUUAGGUUGCCACUGCAGAGACCUGGCAGGGCAGCUCGCACGACUGGAGUGCUGUCGUGGAUGGCUCUGUUCCUUUUAGGAAAGACAGACCGGCCAGGCGGUGGAGUCUCUCUUCGAGGGAGAGAACGGGAACGUAUCGAGCUCCACCUAGGGAUGACUGAAGAAGCAGCGGAGCAUUUGCGUGUGAGGCUGAAGAGGAAAGGUACCUGAAGACUGGAGGAUAGCUGAUGUCACCACAGCCUUCAGAAAAGGUGUCAUUGCCAUGUGACCAGAAGAGAAGAAGUUUGUAAGGAGCAGUCAAGAUGGAUUCACAGAGGGGAAUUCAUGCUGGACCAAAAGGUAGUGUUGUGUGUUGUCUUGAUUGUGCAGUUAGAUGAGAGGAGGGCAGCAGACUGGAGCAACUGAUGUGCGAGAGCCCAAUUGAUGGGGAUGGGUGGUGUGUAGUAGUAUGGGGGCAAUGUGCAUGUUCUGUAACACCAGAAUUUCUGUGUAAACAGGAAGAAAGAUUUCCCUGUGAGAGGGAUGGGAGAGGGUGCUCGGGGAGGUUGUGGAGUCCAGUUCCCUGGGCCCCAUUGCAGUUGCAUGCGGGCGCUUUGCAGUGGGGCCUUGGCAUUCUGUCUGGCUGUGUGAUUGUGUUCUUGUUGCAGGGCAAAGGAGAGCUUUGCAGAGAGGAUUGGCUGGAACAGGUGUGCGCUUUUCCCAGUGGUGGGAUGAAGGAGGGUGGAAGGUCAUGCCCUGAAGGAGGGGAGUUAAGGGAGAGUGGCCCUUUCCAGCUGGAGCUGGGGGUCCCGGUGCGGCUGAUGUCCCGUGGGGAAGAUGCAGAUCCCGGGAGCUGCGACCAGGAGGAGGAGCGGAGCCAGCAGUGGCUCCUGUGUGGUGAUGGCUGCUUAGUGGUGGUGUUCCUGGUCCUGGGCUGAAAGGAGGAGGAGGAGAAAGCUUUUAGUGCCUUACUUCAAAGCUCAGAUCACCUACUCCAACAGCACCAUGCCUCAGCCUCACUUCGCUCACCAGCUGAAAUUGCUGAGGAUGUUUCCUGUGUCUGUGUUGUUGCAGCUGAAUUUCUGCAAGGCAGCCUUUCUCAGAUGCGGUAGGGCUUCCCUGGCUUGAAGAUGUAUAUUGUACCUUGGUGUGGAAGUCUGCAGUUGUUAACUUCACUUUUAGUUAGUUAAUGUGCCAGCUGUGCUGCUGUUCAAAUGCAGCCACCUCUACAAGGCAGGAGAGAAAAAGGAGUUAAUUGACUUGAAUACAAAACUUCUCUCCUUCUGCCUUUGCUGCUACUGUGUCUCAGUGUGUUAGUAGGUUGACUCAUUAGUGCAAGGAGAUGUCUGCUGGCCUUUAAGCUGUUGCUGCUGGGGCUAACAGGCUCUGCUUUUUUCCCAGUGGGCUGGUGAAGGAGUACACUACUGAGAAGAGAGGAAAAGCUUAACAAGUAUACAAACUCAGUAAAAUGGCUGCUGUGUGUAGAAUAGGAAUGCAGCCUGUGUUGGAAGGGACCUCCCACUUGUAGCUCUGCCCCGGUCAGCCUGAACUUCAACUGCCCUCUCCAAUGGUAGUGUCCAAAUGCUUCUCCAACUCCCUCAGCCUGGGGCUGUGACUGCUGCCUGGGGAGCUUGCUCUAACUGCCCUCUGGUCCAGGGUCUUGUUGUAAUCUCCAAGGUGGCUUAAUACACGCACAUUAAUAUGCAUCUAAGUCCCUUGCCCUGGUCACUUCUAGAAAUACUGAAGUGCGUGUGCCCUGAAAUGAAGCCCCGUGGCCCCUGACGAGUGCUGGUCUGCUGGCCUCUUGCACUCCCCUUUAUUCUAACAAAUGCUUU